CAGCAGCCGCGGUAAUACGUAGGGUGCAAGCGUUAAUCGGAAUUACUGGGCGUAAAGCGUGCGCAGGCGGUUCGGAAAGAAAGAUGUGAAAUCCCAGAGCUUAACUUUGGAACUGCAUUUUUAACUACCGGGCUAGAGUGUGUCAGAGGGAGGUGGAAUUCCGCGUGUAGCAGUGAAAUGCGUAGAUAUGCGGAGGAACACCGAUGGCGAAGGCAGCCUCCUGGGAUAACACUGACGCUCAUGCACGAAAGCGUGGGGAGCAAACAGGAUUAGAUACCCUGGUAGUCCACGCCCUAAACGAUGUCAACUAGCUGUUGGGGCCUUCGGGCCUUGGUAGCGCAGCUAACGCGUGAAGUUGACCGCCUGGGGAGUACGGUCGCAAGGUUGAAACUUAAAGGAAUUGGCGGG
rnacentral:rRNA from 1 species